ensembl:lncRNA
AUGUCCCCAGUCCUGUCCCACUGUGCCCAGUUCAAUCCCAGUGCCAUCAGUCCUGUCCCACUGUCACCACCCCAGUGUCCUCACUCCUGUCCCGGUGUCCCCAGUGCCAUUCCAGUGUCACCAGUCCCGUCCCAGUGUCACCUGCCCAGUGCCACCAGCCCAGUUCCAUCCCAGUGCCACCGCCCCAUUGUCACCAUCUCAGUGUCACCAACCCAGUGCUCCCAGUUCCAACCCAGUGCUCCCAGUGCCAUCUCAGUGUCACCACACCUUUGUCCCCAUCCCAGAGUCACCAUCUCACUGUCACCAGUUCAAUCCCAGUGUCCCCAACUCUGUCCCAGUGUCACCACCCCAUUGUCCCCAUACCAAUUUCACUAUCCCAGUGUCACCAACCCAGUUCCCUCCCAGUGUUCCCAGUGCCAUCCCGUUGUCCCCAUAAAAAUGUCACCACACAAGUGCUCCCAGUCCCCUCCCAGUGUCCCCAGUUCCAUCCCGGUGCCACCACCCCAUUGCCCCCAUACCAAUGUCACCAUCUCAAUGUCACCAAACCAGUUCCCAUCCCAGUGCUCCCAGUGCCAUCCCAGUGCCACUAGUUCUGUCCGACUGUCACCACCCAAGUGCCACCAGCCCAGUUCUGUCCCAGUGUUCCCACUUCCAUCCCAGUGCCACCAGUUCAAUCCCAGUGUCACCAUCCCAGUGCCACCACACAAGUGCACCCAGUCCCCUCCCAGUGUUCCCAGUUCUGUCCCAGUGCCACCGCCCCAUUGUCCCCAUACCAAUGUCACCAUCUCAAUGUCACCAAACCAGUUCCCUAUCAGGGCUCCCAGUUUCAUCCCAGUUUUCCCCCAAUGUCACCAUCCCAGUGCUCCCAGUGUCAUCCCAGUGUCACCAUCCCAGCCCAGUGUCACCAGUGCCACCCAUAGCACCAGUCCAGUGUCCCCAGUUUCACCCCAGUGUCACCAACCCAGUGUCACCAGUUCAAUCCCAGUGCCACCACCCCAGUGCUCCCAGUCCCACCCCAGUGCCACCACCCCAUUGUCACCAUCUCAGUGUCACCAUCUCAGUGUCACCAGCCCAGUGUCACCAGCCCAGUGCUCCCAGUUCCCUCCCAGUGCUCCCAGUUCCAUCCCAGUGCUCCCAGUGCCAGCUCAGUGUCACCACACCUUUGUCCCCAUCCCAGUGUCACCAUCCCAGUGUCACCAUCCCAGUGUCACCAGUUCAAUCCCAGUGCUCCCAGUUUCACUCCAGUGUUUCCAGUUCCAUCCCAGUUUUCCCCUACACUGCCCCAGUGUCCCUGUCCCAGUGCUCCCAGUGCCAUCCCAGUGCCACCAGUUCUGCCCCACUGUCACCACCCAAGUGCCACCAGCCCAGUGCCACCAGCACAGUUCCCUCCCAGUACUCCCAGUUCCCUCCCAGUAUCCCCCAUCCAGUGUUUUUGUCCCAGUGCUCCCAGGGCCAGCCCAGUGUCACCAGUGCCAGCCCAGUGUCACCAGUGCCACCCACGGGACCAGCCCAGUGUCCCCAGUUUCACCCCAGUGUCACCAACCCAGUUCCCUCCCAGUGCUCCCAGUUCCAGCCCAGUGCCACAUCCCAGUGUCCCCAUACCAGUGUCACCACUUCCAUCCCAGUGCCACCACCCCAGUGUCACCAGUCCCUUCCUGA